GACCGCUUAGCUCAGUUGGCUAGAGCGCUUACUUGACGUGUAAGAGGUCGUAGGUUCAAGUCCUACAGCGGUCA
rnacentral:tRNA from 1 species